GGAGGGUGCAAGCGUUAAUCGGAAUUACUGGGCGUAAAGAGCGCGUAGGUGGAAAGAUCAGUCAUAUGUGAAAUACCUGGGCUUAACCGAGGAAGGCCAUGUGAUACUGUUUUUCUAGAGUAUAGGAGAGGAAAGGGGAAUUUCCGGUGUAGCGGUGAAAUGCGUAGAUAUCGGAAGGAACACCAGUGGCGAAGGCGACUUUCUGGCCUAUUACUGACACUGAGGCGCGAAAGCGUGGGGAGCGAACAGGGAUUAGAUACCCUGGUAGUCCACGCCGUAAACGAUGAAGACUAGCCCGUUGGUUCGCUUAGGCGAAUUAGUGGCGCAGCUAACGCGAUAAGUUUUCCGCCUGGGGAGUACGGUCGCAAGAUUA
rnacentral:rRNA from 1 species